UACGUAGGCAGCGAGCGUUGUUCGGAAUUACUGGGCGUAAAGGGCGCGUAGGCGGCCUUCUAAGUCGAACGUGAAAUCCCUGGGCUCAACCCAGGAACUGCGUCCGAUACUGAAAGGCUUGAAUCCGGGAGAGGGAUGCGGAAUUCCAGGUGUAGCGGUGAAAUGCGUAGAUAUCGGGAGGAACACCUGAGGCGAAGGCGGCUUGCUGGGCCUGGUCUGACGCUGAGGCGCGAAAGCGUGGGGAGCAAACAGG
rnacentral:rRNA from 1 species